CCCCCAACCAGGGUCUCAGGCUCAUGAGCACCUUUCCUGCAGCGCCACCCCCCACAACCAGGGCAGCCUUGAAGGACCCGGGGAGGUGCCUCCUACUCCCAUCACUAGGAGCCUGUGGGAGAGGACGACGGAGGACUCCCCGCUUCACCGGGAGUCGUGAGGAGUACGUGAAAUAACUCAUGGAAAGCACUCAGGGCCUGGCAAGUGUUUGUUGCCACCAUCAUUAUUUAUCCAUCAUCUUCUCCUGAGAGUGCUUAGACCUCAUCCUCAUGGCCCAAGUCCCUCACCGCCCAAGCUGUGGCAGGGCCACUGAUCUCUGUGGGCGAGUCAGGCUUCUGGAACAGAGAGGCCCUGCUCCCCACCCCUGGGCACCAGGCUGACCCAUGCCUGCCCUCACCCGUGCCAGCCUACAGGAUGCCCUGACCCACCUUCUCGGGCAGGGAUGGCAGGAGUCCCACCUGCCCUGGCUGAGGCCUCACCAGCCCUGCCUCCUUAACCCCAGAUGAGCCACAGAGAUGAGAAUCACCAUCUCACGGAUCAGCUCGGAUGGGGGAGCUCUGGCCCAAGGCCACUCCGUGCUCCUGCAGACGCCCCGUCAUAUGUCUGUCUCAGAGGUUCAGUGGGUCCCCUGUAGGCCCCUUCCCAGCCCAGACUCUGGAUGCCCCGAGGGGCAGAGGCCCACCGCUCAUGCCACUGUGCCCACUCCAGC
ensembl:lncRNA